rnacentral:rRNA from 1 species
UGAGGAAUCUUGGACAAUGGGCGCAAGCCUGAUCCAGCCAUGCCGCGUGAGUGAUGAAGGCCUUAGGGUUGUAAAGCUCUUUUGCCGGGGAUGAUAAUGACCGUACCCGGAGAAUAAGCCACGGCUAAAUUCGUGCCAGCAGCCGCGGUAAUACGAAUGUGGCGAGCGUUGUUCGGAAUCACUGGGCGUAAAGAGUACGUAGGCGGCUUGAUAAGUCAGGAGUGAAAUCCCCAGGCUCAACCUGGGAAUUGCUCUUGAAACUAUCUCGCUAGAAACACGGAGAGGUUGGCGGAAUUCCAAGUGUAGAGGUGAAAUUCGCAGAUAUUUGGAGGAACACCAGUGGCGUAAGCGGCCAACUGGACGUGUAUUGACGCUGAGGUACGAAAGCGUGGGGAUCAAA